GAUGAACGCUGGCGGCGUGCCUAAUACAUGCAAGUAGAACGCUGAAGGAAGGAGCUUGCUCUUCCCGGAUGAGUUGCGAACGGGUGAGUAACGCGUAGGUAACCUGCCUGGUAGCGGGGGAUAACUAUUGGAAACGCUAGCUAAUACCGCAUAAUAGUAUAUUCCGCAUGAUUUCUACUUAAAAGGUGCAAUUGCACCACUACCAGCUGGACUUGCGUUGUAUUAGCUAGUUGGUGAGUUAACGGCUCCCCAAAGCGACGAUACUUAGCCGACCUGAGAGGGUUGUCGGCCACACUGGGACUGAGACACGGCCCAGACUCCUACGGGAGGCAGCAGUAGGGAAUCUUCGGCAAUGGACGGAAGUCUGACCGAGCAACGCCGCGGGAGUGAAGAAGGUUUUCGGAUCGUAAAGCUCUGUUGUAAGAGAAGAACGAGUGUGAGAGUGGAAAGUUCACACUGUGACGGUAUCUUACCAGAAAGGGACGGCUAACUACGUG
rnacentral:rRNA from 1 species